GACGAACGCUGGCGGCGUGCUUAACACAUGCAAGUCGAACGGAAAGGCCCUGCUUGCAGGGUACUCGAGUGGCGAACGGGUGAGUAACACGUGGGUGAUCUGCCCUUCACUUCGGGAUAAGCCUGGGAAACUGGGUCUAAUACCGGAUAGGAGCCAUUUUUAGUGUGAUGGUUGGAAAGUUUUUUCGGUGUAGGAUGAGCUCGCGGCCUAUCAGCUUGUUGGUGGGGUAAUGGCCUACCAAGGCGGCGACGGGUAGCCGGCCUGAGAGGGUGGACGGCCACAUUGGGACUGAGAGACGGCCCAGAUUGCGACGGGAGGCAGCAGGGGGGAAUAUUGCACAAGGGGCGCAAGCCUGAUGCAGCGAGGCCGCGUGGGGGAUGACGGCCUUCGGGUUGUAAACUCCUUUCGCUAGGGACGAAGCUUUUUGUGACGGUACCUAGAUAAGAAGCACCGGCUAACUACGUG
rnacentral:rRNA from 1 species